rnacentral:misc_RNA from 1 species
CCAACUGGAUGCGAACAACUAGUAGAUAGCUAGAGAAGGAAAUUAUCUAUCAUAUGGAAAACCACAUCGGCACCAUCAGAAUUUAACCAGUAUGUCUUCACCUGAAUGGUACUAUGAGCAAUAUACCGCUGUCUGCUUUUGUGAAAGCUAACAUCGACACGUUCCCAUGGUACUUGAGUGAGACCUUUAAUCAUCUCCUCUUCCAAAUCAGUUGUUUGGUCCCUAAUGGCAGUAGAUUCUUUAUUACGGCAGUUGCUCAUUGUUUCUUGCUCAACAUACACAAUAUGUGGAUAUUUCUGAUUCGUCACAAGAAGGUUGGGCUUAGGAAGUUCCUGUUGACGCCUAAUUGACGAAGUCCUCCACCCGACCAUAUGAUCAUAAUUUGCAUUUGCA